rnacentral:rRNA from 1 species
GACGCAACGCGCAGAACCUUACCAGCCCUUGACAUGUCCAGGACCGGUCGCAGAGAUGUGACCUUCUCUUCGGAGCCUGGAGCACAGGUGCUGCAUGGCUGUCGUCAGCUCGUGUCGUGAGAUGUUGGGUUAAGUCCCGCAACGAGCGCAACCCCCGUCCUUAGUUGCUACCAUUUAGUUGAGCACUCUAAGGAGACUGCCGGUGAUAAGCCGCGAGGAAGGUGGGGAUGACGUCAAGUCCUCAUGGCCCUUACGGGCUGGGCUACACACGUGCUACAAUGGCGGUGACAAUGGGAUGCAAAGGCGCGAGCCCUAGCAAAUCUCAAAAAGCCGUCUCAGUUCGGAUUGGGCUCUGCAACUCGAGCCCAUGAAGUUGGAAUCGCUAGUAAUCGUGGAUCAGCAUGCCACGGU